rnacentral:misc_RNA from 1 species
CGCGUUCCCAUCCGGCACAACUCCAACCUCAAUCGAAGAGGAUGAUACACUGUGACUGAUUGACUGAGGAUUGUAACCGUACGGGAACGAUUUGGUGCUGGGGAAAUCUAUGCCGAAGCAGCGAUCGUUUACGGAUGAGAGAUUAACGCCUUUGCUCUGAACCGGAACAACUCCAUCGGCGCCGGAGCUGUUUUGCUCUUGCGCUUCCAAUUUCGGAUCUACAUGGCCGUAAUCCAGAUCUAGGUAAGGAUCCAUUUCUGGAAACUCAAACUUCCCUGAGUUCAGAUCUGAACUUUCGAUUGCCUUAGGGUUAGGGUUCGGAAGAAGCCAGGAAGCAGCCUCGGCUUCUUCUCUACUAACAUCAGCGGCAUCACCGUCGACGUCGGAGAAGUAACGGUCAUCGAGGAAGUUGAUUGCAGCGCUAGGUUUAACGGCGAGUGAGUUGUCGGAGUUGGAGGUGUCGUAGAAAGGCGUGACGGGAACUCGCUCGUGACGGCGAGCGAGGGGAUUAGCAGAGUGAAUAUCGUGGUCGCAAGUGAGGCAGAGAGCGGCGGCGUCAGCCUUGCAGGUUACAUGAGCAGGAGCUUGCUCGCAAACUUCACAGACCCAAACGCGAGCAUGGCGAGAGGCGAGUUUGUUG